rnacentral:rRNA from 1 species
AUUGAACGCUGGCGGUAUGCCUUACACAUGCAAGUCGAACGGUAGAGGGGCAACCCUUGAGAGUGGCGAACGGGUGAGUAAUACAUCGGAACGUGCCCAGUCGUGGGGGAUAACGUAGCGAAAGCUACGCUAAUACCGCAUACGACCUGAGGGUGAAAGCGGGGGAUCGCAAGACCUCGCGCGAUUGGAGCGGCCGAUGGCAGAUUAGGUAGUUGGUGGGGUAAAGGCCUACCAAGCCUGCGAUCUGUAGCUGGUCUGAGAGGACGACCAGCCACACUGGGACUGAGACACGGCCCAGACUCCUACGGGAGGCAGCAGUGGGGAGUUUUGGACAAUGGGCGCAAGCCUGAUCCAGCCAUACCGCGUGCGGGAAGAAGGCCUUCGGGUUGUAAACCGCUUUUGUCAGGGAAGAAAUCUUCUGGGCUAAUACCUCGGGAGGAUGACGGUACCUGAAGAAUAAGCACCGGCUAACUACGUGCCAGCAGCCGCCGUAAUAC